UUCCGUAGGUGAACCUGCGGAAGGAUCAUUACCGAGUGCGGGCCCUCGUGGCCCAACCUCCCACCCUUGUCUCUAUACACCUGUUGCUUUGGCGGGCCCACCGGGGCCACCUGGUCGCCGGGGGACAUCUGUCCCCGGGCCCGCGCCCGCCGAAGCGCUCUGUGAACCCUGAUGAAGAUGGGCUGUCUGAGUACUAUGAAAAUUGUCAAAACUUUCAACAAUGGAUCUCUUGGUUCCGGCAUCGAUGAAGAACGCAGCGAAAUGCGAUAAGUAAUGUGAAUUGCAGAAUUCCGUGAAUCAUCGAAUCUUUGAACGCACAUUGCGCCCCCUGGCAUUCCGGGGGGCAUGCCUGUCCGAGCGUCAUUUCUGCCCUCAAGCACGGCUUGUGUGUUGGGUGCGGUCCCCCCGGGGACCUGCCCGAAAGGCAGCGGCGACGUCCGUCUGGUCCUCGAGCGUAUGGGGCUUUGUCACUCGCUCGGGAAGGACUGGCGGGGGUUGGUCACCACCAAAAUUUUACCACGGUUGACCUCGGAUCAGGUAGGAGUUACCCGCUGAACUUAAGCAUAUCAAUAAG
rnacentral:rRNA from 1 species